rnacentral:lncRNA from 1 species
CAUUCCUCGUCUCCGGCGCUACCUCCUCUCCGGCGCGGACCGAUCCCAACCCGCUCCGCCGGAGGAAUUUUUCUCCUCCUCCCUCCUCUCCCACCGUCUCGCUUGUUCUCCUUCUUCUCCUCCUCCUCUUCUUCGGGUGUUCUGGGUUUGUUCUCUCUCCUUUCCGGCGUCGACCGACCGGCCCCAAGUCCCGAUCGAUUCAGGCCCGCCUCCGCCCGAGGAGAAAACUUGGAUCCAACCCACCGCCUAUCUCGGGAUAGAGAAAGGUACGGAUUGGAAGUUCGAUGUCCUGUUGGAGUUUAUAUUUUAAUUUAAUUUAAUACUUGUCACGAAAUUAAUCGAUUCGUAUCUUCUAUCAUCGCAGAUCCACAUCCUCUCCGUCUCAGUGAUCGAAGAGAGUUCGCAGCCAUUUUCGGCUCCAGCAAUCGU